AACGCUAGCUACAGGCUUAACACAUGCAAGUCGAGGGGCAGCAUGGUCUUAGCUUGCUAAGGCUGAUGGCGACCGGCGCACGGGUGAGUAACACGUAUCCAACCUGCCGUCUACUCUUGGCCAGCCUUCUGAAAGGAAGAUUAAUCCAGGAUGGGAUCAUGAGUUCACAUGUCCGCAUGAUUAAAGGUAUUUUUCGGUAGACGAUGGGGAUGCGUUCCAUUAGAUAGUAGGCGGGGUAACGGCCCACCAAGCCAUCGAUCAGUAGGGGUUCUGAGAGGAAGGUCCCCCACAUUGGAACUGAGACACGGUCCAAACUCCUACGGGAGGCAGCAGUGAGGAAUAUUGGUCAAUGGGCGCGAGCCUGAACCAGCCAAGUAGCGUGAGGGAUGACGGCCCUAUGGGUUGUAAACCUCUUUUAUGCGGGAAUAAAAUGUUUGACGUGUCAUACAUUGUAGGUACCGCAAGAAUAAGGACCGGCUAAUUCCGUGCCAGCAGCCGCGGUAAUACGGAAGGUCCAGGCGUUAUCCGGAUUUAUUGGGUUUAAAGGGAGCGUAGGCCGUCUGUUAAGCGUGUUGUGAAAUGUAGAUGCUCAACAUCUGAAUUGCAGCGCGAACUGGCAGACUUGAGUGUGCGCAACGUAGGCGGAAUUCGUGGUGUAGCGGUGAAAUGCUUAGAUAUCACGAAGAACUCCGAUUG
rnacentral:rRNA from 1 species